CCAGACUCCUACGGGAGGCAGCAGUGGGGAAUAUUGGACAAUGGGGGGAACCCUGAUCCAGCGACGCCGCGUGAGUGAAGAAGUAUUUCGGUAUGUAAAGCUCUAUCAGCAGGGAAGAAAGAAAUGACGGUACCUGACUAAGAAGCCCCGGCUAACUACGUGCCAGCAGCCGCGGUAAUACGUAGGGGGCAAGCGUUAUCCGGAUUUACUGGGUGUAAAGGGAGCGUAGACGGCGAUGCAAGUCUGAAGUGAAAGGCGGGGGCCCAACCCCCGGACUGCUUUGGAAACUGUAUAGCUGGAGUGCAGGAGAGGUAAGUGGAAUUCCUAGUGUAGCGGUGAAAUGCGUAGAUAUAAGGAAGAACACCAGUGGCGAAGGCGGAUGACUGGACGGCAACUGACGGUGAGGCGCGAAAGCGUGGGGAGCAAACAGGAUUAGAUACCCCAGUA
rnacentral:rRNA from 1 species